rnacentral:rRNA from 1 species
CAGUCGCCGCGGGAAUACGGAAGGGGCUAGCGUUGUUCGGAAUUACUGGGCGUAAAGCGCACGUAGGCGGCUUGGUAAGUUAGAGGUGAAAGCCUGGAGCUCAACUCCAGAAUUGCCUUUAAGACUGCCGAGCUAGCAGGUGAGAGAGGUAAGUGGAAUUCCGAGUGUAGAGGUGAAAUUCGUAGAUAUUCGGAAGAACACCAGUGGCGAAGGCGGCUUACUGGCUCAUACUGGACGCUGAGGUGCGAAAGCGUGGGGAGCAAGCAGGAUUAGAUACCCGGGUAGUCCCUGUUUCUUAUAC